rnacentral:rRNA from 1 species
GAUGAACGCUGGCGGCGUGCCUAAUACAUGCAAGUCGAUCGAACAGACGAGGAGCUUGCUCCUUUGACGUUAGCGGCGGACGGGUGAGUAACACGUAGGUAACCUACCUAUAAGACUGGGAUAACUUCGGGAAACCGGAGCUAAUACCGGAUAAUAUUUCGAACCGCAUGGUUCGAUAGUGAAAGAUGGCUUUGCUAUCACUUAUAGAUGGACCUGCGCCGUAUUAGCUAGUUGGUAAGGUAACGGCUUACCAAGGCAACGAUACGUAGCCGACCUGAGAGGGUGAUCGGCCACACUGGAACUGAGACACGGUCCAGACUCCUACGGGAGGCAGCAGUAGGGAAUCUUCCGCAAUGGGCGAAAGCCUGACGGAGCAACGCCGCGUGAGUGAUGAAGGUCUUCGGAUCGUAAAACUCUGUUAUUAGGGAAGAACAAACGUGUAAGUAACUGUGCACGUCUUGACGGUACCUAAUCAGAAAGCCACGGCUAACUACGUG